rnacentral:piRNA from 2 species
UCGCUUCUCGGCCUUUUGGCUAAGA